rnacentral:tRNA from 1 species
GGAGCGUUGGCCGAGAGGCUUAAGGCGCUCGCCUGCUAAGCGAGUUGGGGGUUGAAAGCUCCCUCGGGGGUUCGAAUCCCCCACGCUCCGCC